UUUAACUGAAGAGUUUGAUCAUGGCUCAGAUUGAACGCUGGCGGCAGGCUUAACACAUGCAAGUCGAGCGGGGGAAGGUAGCUUGCUACCGGACCUAGCGGCGGACGGGUGAGUAAUGCUUAGGAAUCUGCCUAUUAGUGGGGGACAACAUCUCGAAAGGGAUGCUAAUACCGCAUACGUCCUACGGGAG
rnacentral:rRNA from 1 species